rnacentral:rRNA from 1 species
AAAUUGAAGAGUUUGAUCAUGGCUCAGAUUGAACGCUGGCGGCAGGCCUAACACAUGCAAGUCGAACGGUAACAGGAAGCAGCUUGCUGCUUUGCUGACGAGUGGCGGACGGGUGAGUAAUGUCUGGGAAACUGCCUGAUGGAGGGGGAUAACUACUGGAAACGGUGGCUAAUACCGCAUAACGUCGCAAGACCAAAGAGGGGGACCUUCGGGCCUCUUGCCAUCAGAUGUGCCCAGAUGGGAUUAGCUUGUUGGUGAGGUAACGGCUCACCAAGGCGACGAUCCCUAGCUGGUCUGAGAGGAUGACCAGCCACACUGGAACUGAGACACGGUCCAGACUCCUACGGGAGGCAGCAGUGGGGAAUAUUGCACAAUGGGCGCAAGCCUGAUGCAGCCAUGCCGCGUGUAUGAAGAAGGCCUUAGGGUUGUAAAGUACUUUCAGCGGGGAGGAAGGUGUUGCGGUUAAUAACCGCAGCAAUUGACGUUACCCGCAGAAGAAG